UUUAAUUUGAAAACAAAAACCAGCCGGGCCUGUGGCUCUCCAGGACCAGGACUGCAGACCCAUGAUAUAUAGAAUGAAAAGCCGAGCCGUGAGGCUUUUAUGGAUUACUGGAAUGAUGGCAGAAGCAAUGAGCUGUGUUUGAAGGAGGGGGUCCUCAAUUCAUUUCAACUGCAAUCCCAUUUCACAGAAGAUGUGCAGCUGGGGGCCAUAUGAGAAUUGUCAAUUCAACCCUUUCCCCGGACACAGAUGGGAAUAUCUAAGUAUAAUCGUUAUCAAGACUCUACAAUGGAGGCAUGAAUCCCAGACAGUGUACUGGUGUUUUGAUUCCCCUGCAUUCCAACCUCAACAGCACCUCAAGGAAGUUGAGGUCAUUUCAUUAGUAAUUGAGGAUGAGUAUUAUGUCUUGGAGGGAAAACAUUUGCUCUGUUACACAAAGCAGAGUCAGGAAUGGCAUCAACUGCAAAUUGUCCUUUGCUGAACAGGACAGCUUUUCCAGACAGAGAUGCUUUUGUCAACAUAAAAUAAGAUAGUUCUCCAAAAGGAAAAUGGGCAUAUGCUGAAAGAUUUAUCUGUACUGUGUCUAAAGUUUGCAUUCAAUGUGCUGUGCUUUGUUUUUCAUUCUGAGUGAGGAAACUGAGUAUUUGAUUUGAUGACUUGGUUAAUUAUGUCUUCGAAAAUGACCAGCAUAUUAUGACCAAUGCCAUAAUGCUGUUUUAAAUUAUGCUUGGUUCAUUUGAAUAAAUUAUUUUGAAUCAUUAAAAAAAAAAAAUCAAAAUUCCCUUUAUCUCCCCUGACAAUGUUAUGAUAGGGGAUAUGAUAGGUGUUUUGUGCUGCUGACUGCAUUAUGUGGGCUCUAUGGCAUACAAUUCAAGUAGAGUGCUCACAUUUUCUUCAUGCAAUUUUGAACAGCUUUCAGAAUAGGGAGCUUCAGAAUGGACAUAACGCAAGAAAUGGACAUAAGUCAUAGUGAACUUUUCACAAAAACAACAAAAACAGUUUGUUUGGUGCUGAAAAACAGAUGACAAAAUGGUCAGAAAAAUGGCCCGAAAUAAUGGCGGGGCACUUUUCUGUCUGUCAAAUUGUCACAGGACUGCACUUAGUAAGGGGAUUCAAAAAUACUUUUGUGGCCCCAGGAAAGCUAUGUCAUAAGGCUGUUUCAUGUGGAUAUUGAUAACAGAAACUGCAUGAAAUCAAGAGGAUGAUCUCGUUGACAAGAAAGCCAUCUGUUAACCAUCAGUUGAUCAGUCACAUUUCAAAUGUGAUUACACAAUAAAAUAUUCAGCGUUAAAUAAAGUCUUACAGAGUACAUAUUGGGCUCAUACUAGGUGCCCUGUUAGAGUUUAAUUAACACUGGACAUUUAUCUUUUGUAAUACAUAUAUUGUGCCAUUUCUGCCUGGUGAAUGUGUUUACACAAUGAAAUUAUCAGUGUUAAAUAAAGUCUUACAGAGUGCAUAUUGGGCUCAUACUAGGUGCUCUGUUGGAGUUUAUUUACAGUGGACAUUUUUCUUUUUUAAUAAAUACACUGUGCCAUUUCUGACUGGUCACAUGCCUUCUGUGUCACGAUGGACAGACGUAAACGUAUCAACAUGAACGGCUCGGGACCUGGUUGCUUUCUUCACUUUCAGAGGUUUUCUAACCAGUGGCCCCCAAACCCCCAUAAAAUCAUAUAUCAAACUCCACUUUGAGGGAAAAUUGGACUGUAAAGGUCAGCUUUUACACAAAACUGUCACUUGUGAAGUUUAAUGGUCAGCCAUAUUAUAAACCCGGUCUCAUACCCUUCAUAUCGAUCAGUUCACAGCUCGCCAUUGUAGCAGGAAGGGAUGAGACCAGGUUGUGCACACAGUUAUAAUUGUGGAACCAUGUGUACGUUGUAUAAUAUUUACAGAAAAAAUGCAUAUGUGAAAUGAACAAUAAAAUAAUAUAAUAAUGUAACUGUAAAGGGGAAGAAAAGUAUUUUUGUUUUGAACAAUUCCUUAGUUUUCUAGCCUGUCCUCCUGUCCAUGAAAUAUACAUAAUUGAUUCAAUUUCGGUUCUUUGGUGACUAAAGAUUUCCUGCUUAUAUAAAGAGAGCCAUGAUUGGUUUCAAUCUGUUUCAUUAGCUAAUUUAUGACUAUCUUUACUGCAUAGUUGCUGAACAUAAUUAAUUCCUAAGGAGAGUAGAGCAGAUCAACUCCUCUAGGACUCUCUGCAACACACGGCUAUUGGGAUUUGGGAUGAUUAUUACAAAAAAAGAGGGUUAUAAUAAACUGUCAGGAGAUCUAGGGGCAAUGUUUAUUAACAACCUGAGAUAAAAAUUUAUGCUCAUGAAAUUAUGAGACCUCCAGCAUAUGGUGAACUGGCACCACCCCUCUUGCCCUUGAAACAGGCUUUGAAUUCUAUUUGGAGUUUUAGGACAUGUUGUUGAUUUCCACUCAAUAUAUACAUGCUGUAGUGCUUAAAUGCAUACUAAGCAUUUUUGUGCAAAUGUAAAAAAUAAAAUGUGUUAGUACUUUAUAA